rnacentral:lncRNA from 1 species
UUCUUUGGUGUGUGUGUUUGGGUCAAAGCUUAGAUUCCAUGUGAACAAAUUUGCUUCAUGUCCCUUUUUUUUUUUUGGCACUUGGAGGGAAAAAAAAUAUGCGUGUCUUGGGAAAGAACAAGCUUUCAGCCUUGGGUCAGAUGUUGGGUUCGGGAAAAAAAAAAUAUUCAGCCUUGGGUCAAAUGUUAGUUGGUGUGUUGCCCUGUUUUGGGUUUUCAAUUUGUUGCCCAUGUGUUAUAGUCGCAUGUGUGCAGUGGUUUUAGUCCAUGAGGGUAUUUUCAGAGAGGGUUUUUUUCUCAGCUAUGUAUGCUCGAUGAUUUAGCUUAUUGGGAGAUGGUUUCAAUCGAUUUCCUUUGUACAGUCCUAUACGUGGGUGGCUGAAAUAAGUGCUAUGUUAAUUUUCAGCCGCUUGAUGCAGUACCAUCUUCUCCAAGUCUUUCACAUGUUUUGUCCCUCAAUUUUGUCGACUUUGGUGAGUGUAUUUUUGACUUUUUUAGAGGUUUUUUCCAUCGUUUUUUGCUUUCGAUUGUUUGAUCUUACCUUUGUUGCUAACUCUUCGUGUUUUCUUCUAUUCUUUACAGGGUUGUUUCUAUUUUCUUUUUUCAGCUCGCGGUGGUUUUGCAUUUAAAGGUCAUCCUUUGCUACUUCUAUUGUUAAUAGAUUUUCGUUUUGUGCGUAUUUGAAACA